GAUGGUGAUAAUGCCACAGUUGAAAAUGAUCUUGGUAUAUUUAAAAGAAACCUUUCUUCUUGGCUAAGUUCAAAAGAAGUCAGUCAAAACACCAUUGAUAUUAUUGACAGUAAAUACUGCCAGACUAAUGGAGGUACACUGGACAUCAUUGGAGUCCUAGAAAGUGCUUAUGAAGAAGCAUGCUGGGAUUAUGGUGGAGAAAAUUACAGGUUGGAAGGAUCAUAUGCAGUUUUAAUUUCACAUUACCUUGAAAAGUGUGCAAAAGUGGAGAAAAGAUUGAAUUGGCCUGUGAAGGAGGUCAAGUGGAUUG